CUGCCUUGCAGGUAUGAAUGGGUCGUUGAUCCCCCUAACAGGAGUCCUGCACAAGAGACUCUUCAGGAUUGUCCCCCUUGGCAGGCCGGGACAAGCUAAGGCACGAGUUGCUACUACAUGUGGGUGAGCAGGAUGGAUGCCAGGUCAGCCCUCCAAGAUGGACCUUGGCAUUUUCAUCUGCAGGAACUUGAGGCUUGAUUAACUUACUCCAAGUCACCCAGGUGGUAAUCUACAGGGAAAUUCUUCCAACAUAGGAGUUUCUGCCUCCACAGUUUAAGCUCUGAGUAACCACAGCGAUGGAGGGAAAUGGAAUGAUAAAAACGGGAAGAUUCACAGUAUACCGAGUGCUAGCUAUACAUCAGGCUUUGAAGAAAAUCUAUGUGCCCAUCUGUCAGACUUCCUGCUUGAAGGUUUCCUGCAGAAACACAGGCAGAAGAUGAUUGGGGCCUGAAGCUAAAUGGCCACCAUGUCCCUCCACAGCUACUUGACCCUUAGCUGAUCAGGCAUUCUGUGCUUCCAUUUUCUGCUCAUCUUUGAGUGGG
rnacentral:lncRNA from 1 species